rnacentral:rRNA from 1 species
CACGUAGGGUGCGAGCGUUGUCCGGAAUUAUUGGGCGUAAAGAGCUCGUAGGCGGUGUGUCGCGUCGGCCGUGAAAACCUGCAGCUUAACUGUGGGCUUGCGGUCGAUACGGGCAUCACUGGAGUUCGGUAGGGGAGAUCGGAAUUCCUGGUGUAGCGGUGAAAUGCGCAGAUAUCAGGAGGAACACCCGUAGCGAAGGCGGCACUCUGGGCCGAUACUGACACUGAGGAGCGAAAGCGUGGGGAGCGAACAGG